CCCUUAGAUGUUCUGGGCCGCACGCGCGCUACACUGAUGCAUUCAACGAGUUUCUUCCUGGUCCGAGAGGAAUGGCUAACCUUUUGAAAGUGCAUCGUGAUAGGGAUAGACUAUUGCAAUUAUUGGUCUUCAACGAGGAAUUCCUAGUAGACGUAGUUCAUCAGACUGCAUCGAUUACGUCCCUGCCCUUUGUACACACCGCCCGUCGCUCCUACCGAUUGAAUGCUCAGGUGAGCCAUUCGGACUUUCAUCAUGCUGGUUUCCAGUUUUGAUGAAGGAAAGUCUUGCGAACCUUAUCAUUUAGAGGAAGGAGAAGUCGUAACA
rnacentral:rRNA from 1 species